GUGCUCGCUUUGGCAGCACAUACACUAAAGUUGAAAUAAUACAGAGAUCAGCAUGGGCCCUGCACAAAGAUGACAUGAAAAUUUGUGAAGUAUUCCAUAUUUCU